UACGUAGGGUGCGAGCGUUAAUCGGAAUUACUGGGCGUAAAGCGUGCGCAGGCGGUAAGUUAAGUCUGAUGUGAAAGCCCCGGGCUCAACCUGGGAAUGGCAUUGGAAACUGGCUUGCUGGAGUGUGGCAGAGGGGGGUGGAAUUCCGCGUGUAGCAGUGAAAUGCGUAGAGAUGCGGAGGAACACCGAUGGCGAAGGCGGCCCCCUGGACAAAGACUGACGCUCAGGUGCGAAAGCGUGGGGAGCAAACAGG
rnacentral:rRNA from 1 species